rnacentral:rRNA from 1 species
GAAUUCGCCCUUGUUUGAUCCUUGCUCAGGACGAACGCUGGCGGCGUGCCUAACACAUGCAAGUCGAACGGACCUAGCUUGAUAGCAAUAUUGGGCGACGGUUAGUGGCGAACGGGUGGGUAACGCGUGAGCAACCUGCCUUUCAGAGGGGGAUAACAGCUGGAAACAGUUGCUAAUACCGCAUAAAGUAUUUAAGUGGCAUCACUUUAAUACCAAAGGUUAAUUCCGCUGAGAGAUGGGCUCACGUCUGAUUAGCUAGAUGGUGGGGUAAUGGCCUACCAUGGCAACGAUCAGUAGCCGGUCUGAGAGGAUGAACGGCCACAUUGGGACUGAGAUACGGCCCAGACUCCUACGGGAGGCAGCAGUGGGGAAUAUUGGGCAAUGGGCGCAAGCCUGACCCAGCAACGCCGCGUGAAGGAAUAAGGCCUUCGGGUUGUAAACUUCUUUUAUCAGGGACGAAGGAUGUGACGGUACCUGAUGAAUAAGCCACGGCUAACUACGUGCCAGCAGCCGCGGUAAUACGUAGGUGGCAAGCGUUGUCCGGAUUUACUGGGUGUAAAGGGCGCGUAGGCGGGAAUGCAAGUCAGAUGUGAAAUCCAUGGGCUCAACCCAUGAACUGCAUUUGAAACUGUGUUUCUUGAGUGAUGGAGAGGCAGGCGGAAUUCCUAGUGUAGCGGUGAAAUGCGUAGAUAUUAGGAGGAACACCAGUGGCGAAGGCGGCCUGCUGGACAUCAACUGACGCUGAGGCGCGAAAGCGCGGGGAGCAAACAGGAAGAGAUACCCUGGUAGUCCGCGCCGUAAACGA